GGGGCUGGUUGUACGUCUGGUGAGUGCCACGGUCUUCAAAACCGCCUGGGAGGCGCGUGCCGUCUUCGGUGGGUUCGAUUCCCACACAGUCCCGCCA
rnacentral:tRNA from 7 species